AAAAUUAAAAAAAAAAAAUCAAAACACACUAAUGUAUGGAAAAAAAUUUAAAAAAGUGAGGCUUUUAAUUUCCCAAGGCUGGUUCCCUAAUGAAAGAUCACAAUCCCUGAUAAUGUGAUAAAUGCUGCCAAAGAAGGGACCAGACCAUUUAUCUCACAAGAACAAAGCCAUGAAACAAAGAAUGCACCCACCCACAUAUCAGUGUGUGCACAGCAAAAAUAAAACCCCACAUGUCAUCAGCCUCAUGCUUUAGAAAGGAUAUACAACGCUGAAAGAUAAUAUAGUAGAGAACUAACUAUGUGGUGAAUAUUGAAAUAAUAAGUCUGCUGACCAUCACCAACUUCCACUAGAAAUAUGCCAAAUACCAAUUACAUUAAAUGCAAAAAUAUUGCAUUAGAAAAGAAUUUUUGCAGCAAUGAGAACCAAAAUACAUCAUAGUAAUUGUUAAGCAAACAUCUAUAUGAAGCUUAGUGCAAUGUUGUCGCAUCUCCACAAAUGCUCACUCU
rnacentral:misc_RNA from 1 species